rnacentral:rRNA from 1 species
UACGGGGGGGGGCAAGCGUUGUCCGGAAUUAUUGGGCGUAAAGCGCGCGCAGGCGGUCGUUUAAGUCUGGUGUUUAAGCCCGGGGCUCAACCCCGGUUCGCAUCGGAAACUGGAUGACUUGAGUGUAAGAGAGGAAAGUGGAAUUCCACGUGUAGCAGUGAAAUGCGUAGAGAUGUGGAGGAACACCGAUGGCGAAGGCAGCCCCCUGGGAUAACACUGACGCUCAGGCACGAAAGCGUGGGGAGCAAACAGG